rnacentral:rRNA from 1 species
GACGAACGCUGGCGGCGUGCUUAACACAUGCAAGUCGAACGAAGUAGCGAACGGGUGCGUUACGGGUAAUCAACCUGCCCUUCAGAGGGGGACAACAGUUGGAAACGACUGCCAAUACCGCAUACUGAAGGAGGGGAUUGCGUCGGAAUAGCCAGUUGGAGGGGUAACGGCCCCCCAAGGCGACGAUCAGUAACGGGGCUGAGGAGUAGAACGGCGAGAUUGGGACUGGGACACGGCCCAGGCUCCUACGGGAGGCAGCAGUGGGUCAUCUGCCGCAAUGGACGAAAGCCAGUGGGAGCAACGCCGCGGGAUGGGUAGGAAACUUCGCGUUGUAGAGCUGUGUUGAUCGGGACGCGGUACCGGAGUGGGAAGCAACGGCUAACUACGUACCAGCCGCCGCGGUAAUUC